rnacentral:rRNA from 1 species
AGGAGGGUCAUGUGGCUACGCCAUCCCCGCGCCCCGGCCGAAACCGAGACGCCAAGGAUGACCGCGCAACCGAUGGUGGUGUUUUGUAUUCAACGUCUCCUAAUCGCUGGUCGGCAUCGUUUAUGGUUAAGACUACGACGGUAUCUGAUCGUCUUCGAUCCCCUAACUUUCGUUCUUGAUUAAUGAAAACAUCCUUGGCAGAUGCUUUCGCAGAAGUUAAUCUUUCAUAAAUCCAAGAAUUUCACCUCUGACAAUUAAAUAUUAAUGCCCCCAACUAUCCCUAUUAAUCAUUACCCUAGUCCUCGCGCUGCCAAAACCAACUGAAAAUAGGAGGACAGGGUCCUAUUCCAUUAUCCCAUGCUAAUGUAUUCGGUGGCAGAAAAUUGGAUCUGCCUGCUUUGAACACUCUAAUUUUUUCACGGUAAACAUCUGGGCCAAACUGGGCCUUCACGGUAAACGAUCUGGGCCACUGGGCCUUAACGGAAACCCAUUUGGGCUACAGA